GGUGCGGUGCCCGCGAUUCAUUCCGCGGGAGAAUAGAGAAACGGGGUGGAAUUCCCCUACGGUCACGCCGCUGUGAAAGCCGAGUUUUUCUUCAUUAUGCCACUGGGUCCCAACCGGCCGGGGAAGGCGAAGAAAAAUGAUGACGCUUGAGUCAGAAGAACUGCCCGCCAUA
rnacentral:ncRNA from 1 species